UAGGGAAUCUUCGGCAAUGGGGGGAACCCUGACCGAGCAACGCCGCGUGAGUGAAGAAGGUUUUCGGAUCGUAAAGCUCUGUUGUUCAGAAAGAAAGAGUGUGAGAAUGGACCGUUCAUGCUGUGCCGGUACUUAACAAGAAAGGGACGGCUACCUACGUGCCAGCAGCCGCGGUAAUACGUAGGUCCCGAGCGUUGUCCGGAUUUAUUGGGCGUAACGCGAGCGCAGGCGGUUAGAAAAGUCUGAAGUGAAAGGCAGUGGCUCAACCAUUGUAGGCGUUGGAAACUGUUUAACUGGAGUGCAGAAGGGGAGAGUGGAAUUCCAUGUGUAGCGGUGAAAUGCGUAGAUAUAUGGAGGAACACCGGUGGCGAAAGCGGCUCUCUGGUCUGUAACUGACGCUGAUGCUCGAAAGCGUGGGGAGCGAACAGG
rnacentral:rRNA from 1 species